GCCAGCAUGGUAUAUUGGUUUGAAUGUUGUACUGCAGCUCUGGAGAACAGGGUUCAAAUCCCUGCUCUGGCA